rnacentral:lncRNA from 1 species
UAGUCGGCCAGCUUCAAUCUUCUCUGAUCCGCUCAAACUCUCGAGGACUGCUUUCUGGAACGAAUGUGCUUCUUAAAGCAGACACAGAACAAACUGAGCUCCUCAAUCGUGCAUGUUUUGGUAGGCCUAGGGUAACGGCAGAAAAGAAUGAGCAAUGGUUUCAGCUCUGCAUGGAAGAAGCUUUUUACCUUCAGUAUUCUCUAAAAUGCAUUAAGGUUGUUGACCACAAUGACACUGAACUGAACAGCGAUGAGUUAUGGAAGCAUAUAACUUCCAGGAAGGAAAAUUUUCCUAUCUUAUACAAAGCUUUUUCUCACCUUAGAAGUAAGAACUGGGUGGUUAGAUCGGGCUCUCAGUACGGGGUAGACUUUGUUGCCUAUCGUCAUCAUCCUGCUCUAGUACAUUCUGAAUAUGCUGUGCUUGCAUUAUCUUCACAACAUGGUAG